GGGAAACCCACAUCUUUCCUCUGGACUUCUGUUCCCAACCAUAAGAGAAGAGGCUUGAAGCUGGAUUUGGUACCCGAGCACUAAUUUGCCAACCACUACUAGAUCAGCAUUAUGAAGUGCAUGAGGAAGCCGGCCAUACUGCAUGCCAACUCUCUGGUUUCAUGACUCAUUAUUUCAAAGGAUAAAGCAAAAGGAGAAAAAGUUGUGCUAUUGACAUGUCCUCACCACUUGGAAGACUUUCACAGAAUAAUAAACCUUAUCAUCAUCUCCUUCUUGACAUAAAUGGCCAAUUUUCAAAGCCCAUCAAUCAGUGUGACCUUUUGUGCAUUGGCAAACUUCUGUACACACUGCAACUUCAUUUUUAGCCCAGAAAGGAUAAUGUUUAACAACUCUUUCCUGUAUAAGCAAAUUGAGCAACUCCAAGUCAAUGACUUCUGAAUAAUUGGAGCAGGGUUCCUGUGUUUUCAUAACUGACCCAUGAUAAAUUCAACAGGAACGGUCACAUAAAUAGCAGACCCCUUGCACUAAGGAUGUUAGGAGUGAGAGCUCUCACUGAAAAUUUGACCAUAUUAUGCAAUUUUUUAACCUACUGAAUGAAUAAUUCCAUGACACAGGCAAACAAUGCUAUUUCUGAAAAAUGCUUCAGAGAACUCUUAAAUCUCUAAUAAAUUUUAAGCUCUUUUUAAAAUCAAUUUUCAUUAUUUUUAUUAGAAAAGUUAAUUUCCCCACUUUAUAUAUUUAAAUAAAAAUGGAAAUAAGAAAU
rnacentral:lncRNA from 1 species